rnacentral:rRNA from 1 species
CCUACGGGUGGCAGCAGUGGGGAAUAUUGCACAAUGGGGGAAACCCUGAUGCAGCGACGCCGCGUGAGCGAAGAAGUAUUUCGUUAUGUAAAGCUCUAUCAGCAGGGAAGAAAAUGACGGUACCUGAGUAAGAAGCCCCGGCUAACUACGUGCCAGCAGCCGCGGUAAUACGUAGGGGGCAAGCGUUAUCCGGAUUUACUGGGUGGAAAGGGAGCGUAGACGGCAGUGCAAGUCUGGAGUGAAAGGCGGGGGCUCAACCCCCGGACUGCUCUGGAAACUGUACGGCUGGAGUGCAGGAGAGGUAAGUGGAAUUCCUAGUGUAGCGGUGAAAUGCGUAGAUAUUAGGAGGAACACCAGUGGCGAAGGCGGCUUACUGGACUGUAACUGACGUUGAGGCUCGAAAGCGUGGGGAGCAAACAGGAUUAGAUACCCCAGUAGUC